UACGUAGGGUGCGAGCGUUAAUCGGAAUUACUGGGCGUAAAGGGUGCGCAGGCGGCGUCGCAAGUCAGGCGUGAAAUCCCCGGGCUUAACCUGGGAACUGCACUUGAAACUACGAUGCUGGAGUAUGGCAGAGGGAGGUGGAAUUCCACGUGUAGCGGUGAGAUGCGUAGAGAUGUGGAGGAACACCGAUGGCGAAGGCAGCCUCCUGGGCCAAUACUGACGCUCAUGCACGAAAGCGUGGGGAGCAAACAGG
rnacentral:rRNA from 1 species